UACAGAGGGUGCGAGCGUUGUCCGGAAUCACUGGGCGUAAAGGGCGCGUAGGUGGUGACCUAAGCGUGCGGUGAAAGCCCGAGGCUCAACCUCGGGUCGGCCGUGCGAACUGGGUCACUGGAGCAGAAUAGAGGCAGGUGGAAUUCCGGGUGUAGCGGUGGAAUGCGUAGAGAUCCGGAAGAACAUCAGUGGCGAAGGCGGUCUGCUGGGCCGUUGCUGACGCUGAGGCGCGGCAGCGUGGGGAGCAAACAGG
rnacentral:rRNA from 1 species